rnacentral:rRNA from 1 species
GACGAACGCUGGCGGCGUGCUUAACACAUGCAAGUCGAACGCUGAAGCUCAGCUUUUGUUGGGUGGAUGAGUGGCGAACGGGUGAGUAACACGUGAGUAACCUGCCUCCUUCUUUGGGAUAACGCCCGGAAACGGGUGCUAAUACUGGAUAUUCACUGGUCUUCGCAUGGGGGUUGGUGGAAAGGGUUUUUCUGGUGGGGGAUGGGCUCGCGGCCUAUCAGCUUGUUGGUGGGGUGAUGGCCUACCAAGGCUUUGACGGGUAGCCGGCCUGAGAGGGUGACCGGUCACAUUGGGACUGAGAUACGGCCCAGACUCCUACGGGAGGCAGCAGUGAGGAAUAUUGCACAAUGGGCGCAAGCCUGAUGCAGCGACGCCGCGUGAGGGAUGGAGGCCUUCGGGUUGUGAACCUCUUUCGCUCAUGGUCAAGCCGCAACAAUGGUUGUGGUGAGGGUAGUGGGUAAAGAAGCGCUGGCUAACUACGUG